rnacentral:misc_RNA from 1 species
AAAAAGAGCAUUAUGUUUGUUAGACAAUUUUGGCUGUGUUACGUUGUCUUUUAUUAUCAAUACUGUUGAGAUAUUUCGGAACCAGCAAGUUGGUAAAAAUCAAGUUGUGUGAGUUCUCCCAAUCCUAACCAGUUUUUAGAAUUGAUCCUCAUAAAUAAUAUUAUGAUCUGCUAUUAGUUCAAUUUUUCCCAUAUCAGAAUUUACAAAGUGGCUGCGUUCUGCUAGCCUGUUAAUGAUAAGAGCUUUCCAU